AUUUUGACUUGUUUCAAUUUAUUGCACAAUUAUGUUACAUGCAGCAUUCAUCUAUGAAUAUUCUUUUUCAGUAGAACAGCGAGUUGGCAACAGAUCUGCUGUGAAAGUUGUGAUACUUUAAAGGACAAAUAUUCUGCUGUGCUUUUCAAAACUUCAAAACAGCACUCUUUCCUUGUCUCCCUAGAGUCAUCUGAAGCUUGCCACGAUGCAGACCUAGAGCUGAAUUUUGCCUGGAAUUUAGGUUCCAGCCUAUAUUCAAAGUAUGGUGAAAGGGAAGAACAGUGA
rnacentral:lncRNA from 1 species